GACAGAGGUGCCGAGCGUUAGGCGGAAUCACUGGGCUUAAAGCGUGUGUAGGCGGAUCUGUAAGUACCUUGUGAAAUCCCACGGCUCAACCGUGGAACUGCUUGGUAUACUGCGGGUCUUGAGCCACCUAGGGGCAAGUGGAACAAACGGUGGAGCGGUGAAAUGCGUAGAUAUCGUUUGGAACGCCAAUGGUGAAAACAACUUGCUGGGGGUGUGCCGACGCUGAGACACGAAAGCCAGGGGAGCAAACGGG
rnacentral:rRNA from 1 species